rnacentral:rRNA from 1 species
UUGUGGUUAAAAAGCUCGUAGUUGGAUCUCGGCGGUCUGAGGGCGGUUCGCUUGAUUGAGUGCUACUGCUCUAUAGGCCGUGGUUUUGCCAGAGGUCUCGGGGUGCUCUUAACCGAGUGUCCUGCGAUGCUGGCAGGUUUACUUUGAAAAAAUUAGAGUGCUCAAAGCAGGCUUUUACGCCUGAAUAUUCGUGCAUGGAAUAAUAGAAUAGGAAGUCGUUUCUAUUUUGUUGGUUUUCGGAAAUCGACUUAAUGAUUAAUAGGGACAGUCGGGGGCAUUUGUAUUCAAACGGCAGAGGUGAAAUUCUUGGACCGUUUGAAGACAAACUACUGCGAAAGCAUUUGCCAAGAAUGUUUUCAUUAAUCAAGAACGAAAGUUAGAGGUUCGAAGGCGAUUAGAUACCGCCCUAGUUUCUAACCAUAAACGAUGC